rnacentral:rRNA from 1 species
UACGGAGGGUGCAAGCGUUGUUCGGAAUUACUGGGCGUAAAGAGCGUGUAGGCGGUAUGGUAAGUCAGAUGUGAAAGCCCUGGGCUUAACCUAGGAAGUGCAUUUGAUACUGCCAUUCUUGAGUAUGGGAGAGGAGAGUGGAAUUCCCAGUGUAGAGGUGAAAUUCGUAGAUAUUGGGAGGAACAUCCGUGGCGAAGGCGACUCUCUGGACCAAUACUGACGCUGAGACGCGAAAGCGUGGGUAGCAAACAGG